rnacentral:rRNA from 1 species
CACGUAGUUAGCCGUGGCUUUCUGGUCAGGUACCGUCAAGGUACGAGCAGUUACUCUCGUACUUGUUCUUCCCUAACAACAGAGUUUUACGAUCCGAAAACCUUCAUCACUCACGCGGCGUUGCUCCGUCAGACUUUCGUCCAUUGCGGAAGAUUCCCUACUGCUGCCUCCCGUAGGAGUCUGGGCCGUGUCUCAGUCCCAGUGUGGCCGAUCACCCUCUCAGGUCGGCUACGCAUCGUGGCCUUGGUGAGCCGUUACCUCACCAACUAGCUAAUGCGCCGCGGGCCCAUCUAUAAGUGACAGCGUAAACCGUCUUUUAGCUUUUCUACAUGUGUAGAAAAGCAUUAUCCGGUAUUAGCUCCGGUUUCCCGAAGUUAUCCCAGUCUUAUAGGCAGGUUGCCCACGUGUUACUCACCCGUCCGCCGCUAACCUUCGGGAGCAAACUCCCAAAGAUUCGCUCGACUUGCAUGUAUUAGGCACGCCGCCAGCGUUCUCCUGAGCCACGGAUACGAACUACUCU